UCACAUAUCAGCUACGGCCACCGGCGACGCCACGCCGCCGCCGCGCGCCUCGUCUCUAAUCCACCGUGGAGAGCUGCUGACCUCUCUCUCCCUCAUUCUUCCCUUCCCCCUCACUCAGAAGAAACGGACAAAAUCCGCCCAGCCAGCCGCCGCCCUAGGCGAAAGGCGUCGCCUCCGACCGCCGUUUGCCCAACGGCCCAGGGCCGCGCCUGAAAAGCCUGAUGCACCAUCGCCGCCUUCGGCCCAUCUCCUCCUCUCUUCUCCUUCACAGGCGCGCGCCGCCGGGAGGCCCCCUCUCCUCUAAUCAAGCAAUGGCAGAAAAAGGAGCCACCCCCUCCAAUUUCGACCUUCGGCGAAAUCGCCGCCUUAUCUCACCCUAUCUUUCGUCUCCCAUUCGAUAUCAGUCACCAUCGCUGUCUAUUGAGCGACGACGCCACCCUGAACCUAGAUCCCUAAUCUACGCGACCACUGCGACCCGCCUCUCCGUUGGC
rnacentral:lncRNA from 1 species